UUUUGGCUUUAAAGAAUCUUGGCAAGAGGCGAUGAGAUAUUUGGUGUGCUUCCAAACAGGUUCCAGCGUUGAAACGACGGACGAUGACAAGAAGGGAAAGCGAAAGAGUAUCUCAAAUUCCAAGUACAGACCCCAGGCCUCUUCUGAUGAAGUGGAGUCUAGUCUUCCAGAUGUACCGGCAAUGAUGUCGUUUCGAACAACGUCUUUUGAGAUUUGAAAACAUUGUUCCCGGUAACGAGGUUUCAGUGCUGCCCCAUGCUCCAGAAGUUGCAUCGAUCCAGACAACCAGGAAAAAGUUGAGCCAUCUGUAGACUUCAGAGCUGAACCAGGUUUCUCCCCAGUAAUCCUGACUCCACUUCAC